rnacentral:rRNA from 1 species
AGGACGAACGCUGGCGGCGUGCCUAACACAUGCAAGUGGAGCGACGAACCAGGCUUCGGCCUGGGGCAAAGCCGCGAACGGGUGAGUAACACGUGGGUAACCUGCCCUGAUGAUUGGGACAACCCGAGGAAACUCGGGCUAAUACCAAAUGUGACCUCCGGCCAUAAGGCCGCUGGGGAAAGGAAGCUUCGGCCUCCGCAUCGGGAUGGGCCCGCGGCCCAUUAGCUUGUUGGUGAGGUAACGGCCCACCAAGGCAGCGACGGGUAGCUGGUCUGAGAGGAUGGCCAGCCACAUUGGGACUGCGACACGGCCCAGACUCCUACGGGAGGCAGCAGUGGGGAAUAUUGCGCAAUGGACGAAAGUCUGACGCAGCGACGCCGCGUGUGGGAUGAAGCCUUUCGGGGUGUAAACCACUGUUGCCCGGGACGAAACUCCUCUUUCGAGAGGAUUGACGGUACCGGGUGAGGAAGCACCGGCUAACUCUGUGCCAGCAGCCGC